GUUGAUUUUUAGCUUGGUUUUCAGUAUAUUUUCGGGGUUCUAUUUUGGCACUCAUGCUCUUGGAGAUGAAAAUCUCUGGUCCAGAAGCUCUCUACCAGCUUAUAUCAUGGAUGCCCCAGCAUCAGGCCACUGUUCAUCUGAACUGUUUUGGACCAUUUCUUGCAGAGAACGAUCCGAAAAGAAGUUGAGCUUGCUGCUGGUAUUCCCUGAUUGUACGCGAGGCUCGCAUGCAUGGCCACAUGAAGCAUUACACCUCCCACCUCCUCCAUCAUCCUCACCCAUUUUCUCUCCAAACUCUCCACCCCUUUCAUGUCUACCAGUCACCAUGCAUGCAAAACUAGACGUGGAAGCCAAGAUAGUUGAGCCGGGGAUGAAUGUUGGUCGCGAAGGCUACACAAAUGGCGGAGCUCCAAACGGUACGCGCCAAUGACGGCCACGCGUGGCCCCCGCGACGCCGGCGAUGGUGGC
rnacentral:lncRNA from 1 species